rnacentral:rRNA from 1 species
UACGUAGGGUCCGAGCGUUGUCCGGAAUCACUGGGCGUAAAGGGCGCGUAGGCGGCUUGAUAAGUAGGGGGUGAAAUCUUGCGGCUCAACUGCAAGGCUGCCUCCUAAACUGUCAGGCUUGAGCACAGUAGAGGCAGGUGGAAUUCCCGGUGUAGCGGUGGAAUGCGUAGAGAUCGGGAAGAACAUCGGUGGCGAAGGCGGCCUGCUGGGCUGUUGCUGACGCUGAGGCGCGACAGCGUGGGGAGCAAACAGG